UGUGGUUCUCAGGUGACUCACCCAGAACCAGAGAGGAGGGAGCCUGAUUCUGGGGUGCGUCACCCGAGAACUGCC
rfam:Myotis lucifugus cont2.56410, whole genome shotgun sequence.